rnacentral:rRNA from 1 species
AGAGUUUGAUCAUGGCUCAGAACGAACGCUGGCGGCAUGCCUAACACAUGCAAGUCGAACGCAAGGUCUCGGUUCGCCGGGGCCUUGAGUGGCGCACGGGUGAGUAGCGCGUGGGAACCUGCCCUGGAGUGGGGGAUAACCGAGGGAAACUUCGGCUAAUACCGCAUGCGCCCGGAGCAAUCCGGGGAAAGAUUUAUCGCUCUAGGAGGGGCCCGCGUCGGAUUAGCUAGUUGGUGGGGUAACGGCCUACCAAGGCGAUGAUCCGUAGCUGGUCUGAGAGGAUGAUCAGCCACACUGGGACUGAGACACGGCCCAGACUCCUACGGGAGGCAGCAGUGGGGAAUAUUGGACAAUGGGCGAAAGCCUGAUCCAGCAAUGCCGCGUGAGUGAGGAAGGCCUUAGGGUUGUAAAGCUCUUUCGGCGGGGACGAUGAUGACGGUACCCGCAGAAGAAGCCCCGGCUAACUUCGUGCCAGCAGCCGCGGUAAUACGAAGGGGGCGAGCGUUGUUCGGAUUUACUGGGCGUAAAGGGCGCGCAGGCGGUUCCGUUUGUCGAGUGUGAAAGCCCCGGGCUCAACCUGGGAACUGCGCUCGAAACGGCGGAACUAGAGUUCGGGAGAGGAGAGUGGAAUUCCCAGUGUAGAGGUGAAAUUCGUAGAUAUUGGGAAGAACACCGGUGGCGAAGGCGGCUCUCUGGACCGAUACUGACGCUGAGGCGCGAAAGCGUGGGGAGCAAACAGGAUUAGAUACCCUAGUAGUCC